rnacentral:misc_RNA from 1 species
AACCCAAAGCAUUACCUCCGCACCAUCAAGUGUUUGUGUUGUGUCCAUUGAUCUGAUGAGAAUGGAAAAGGCGUCCAUGUGAAAGCUCUUUUUUCAGGCUUAGAUAGCGACAGAUUAGGCAGUCACAUAAGCUAUAAUUAAGAUGGCAGAGUUAGAGGAUGAGUUGAUUGGAGAAGAUCUAGAUUAUGAGUAUGAUCUAGAUGAGGAAGAAGAGGAGGCCCUCUUGGCCGGUGAAACGCAGGAGGCCCUUUUUCUCUUUUCCCCGCAGGUUGAAGAGGACAUAAUUGAGUUGCGCGUGGAGGAUGAAUUUGAGGAUGAUGACGGUCAGAUGGGCAUGUCUCACUCCUCCAAUGUUCAUUCACUUCAGACAUCGGACAGUGUAUAUGAAAGGGAUAUCGACGAUGGCUAUAAUGAUAAUUCCAUGAAUGAUGAGUCCCUUAACAUAGAAACCCAAAAUAUUUUAGAAGAGGAGGAGGAAGAGGAAGAGGAGGAGGAGGAAGAAGACGAGGAAGGCCGGAGUCGUGACCGCUUCAAGAGCGAAAGAUCGAAGAUAUCUCUGUCAAACACGACUGUUGAGCGAACCAUUCCAGACUCUCUAGACAAAGUGAAAGUGGAGAAGACAGAGAGCAUAGACCAUUCACGAGGACGAGGUGGCUUCCGUGGUUAUGGCCGAGACAGAGGACGAGGGGGCGGACGAGGUGGCCAAAUGGGGGGUUGGCAGAGGGGAGGGCCAAGAGGGGGACACAGAGGUGGGCAUAGAGGUGGACCCAGAGGUUUGAUGUCCCAGCCUGGAAAUAGUGGAUGGGGUGGCCCUAGAUUCCAGAUCCAGCCAUGGGAGCGUCCACCCUUAUUAAUGAAUCCCCAGAUGCGACCUGCAAUAAGGCAGGGUGUUCCCAACAUGCAGAUGCAGAGGGGUGGCCCUCCUAACAUGGGUCGUCCGCAGCUACCUCUGGUGUCAUUACCUGGGGGAAUGCCAGAUAGGCCUAAUGCCCUCUUGGGCAAUCCCCCCAAUGUAGGAGGAUUUCCCCGUCUUCCACUGGGAAAUGUAGGUUUGUGGAGUGCGGCAGUAGUGCCCUAUGGAGCUGGUGCAAUACUUUCCCAACUAGUCAGUCAGGCACAAAUUGAAGAUGACUUGAGGUCGUCUCUGAAGCGUCGUUCAGACGGGGAGCCUAUGAACAACUCGCCGCCCAAGCACAUGAGAAUGAAUCAGCCCAAAAUGAGUAAUCAGCAGUCUGUUGCAUGGAAAAAACUCAACAAUGCAGUGAACAGACAGCGUGGUGGUAUGGCCAAGAAGGGUCCAAUAUCUAGUCGUCUCUCCAUGCCCGCAGCAAAUGCCAAUCCCAAUUUGACAACCAUCAAGACUGUAGACAUCCGGCCUAUUCAACAGAAUCAGGCAAACAGGCAACAGAGAGGCCAGGGGAGGAAGGAGCCCAAUGCGCAGAAUCAAAACGAAGGCCACAGGCAGUCAGAGAAGGGACCCAGUGACACUGACAAGGGGAAAGGGCCAUCUGACCAGGAGCAAAAGCCGGAUGAUCCCAACGAAGACAAGGAGGCGCGAGAGUACCGGCUGAAACUGCAGAAGCAAAAGGAGUUGAGGGAGCAGAUACUUGCCAAGAAGGAAGCCAGAAGAAAAGCAGCUGCAGCUAUCAAGGCCUCAGAGCUAGCCAGCAAAAAGGAGAGGGAAGAAAAGGAAAACAACAAGAAAGCCGAAGACCAAAAGAAGAAGGAGCAGCACCCGUUCCAACAAGGUCCCCCACCACAGCCGGGACAGAUGGAUCGCAAAGGGUUCAAGGGUGGGCCAAAUCAGCAUCCAAUUAGACCAAACCAGCAGGGCAGCCCACGCCUACCUGCUCCCCACCCCAAUCAGAACAGACCACGAUUCAAUAGGCCUCGGAUGCCUCCCCCUCUGCUUCCGGAAGGUCCUCGAGCUCACCACAACCAGCAGCCUCCUUUCCGUCGCCAGUCUCCCCCGCCCCUGGAUCGCCAUCACCAUCGCCCAGAUGGCCAUCACCACCCGAGUCCGAUCAGGACACCACCUCCAUUAUUCAGUGAGCCGCCGCCCCUUCAUAAUGUGGAUUCUGGUUUCCAGCUGGAUGGAAUAAGACCACCCUAUUAUGGCCCUCACAGUAAUUCAGGGCAGCAGCCAUUGCAUCCAGUCCCACCACAGGAUAUGCCACCUCAUCACCAUGGCCCCCCGCCCCAGCGGCACAUCCCACCCCCGCAUCCACCCCCACCCAUCCACAACCAGCCACCACCCCACCUGCAGCAUCCACCUCCUUCUCACCCUCCACCUCCUCAGCACCACCCUCCUCCACACCAGCCGCCGUCUGACAUGCAGCACAUGCCUGGACGACCUAACAUGCCCCCGCCCCACCACCACGGGCCUCCACACUUACAGGGUCCGCCUCACAGGCCCUCGCAUCCACCAAACCAUGGUCCCCCCCAUGGACAUCCCCCGGAUUUGAACCACAGGCCACCAGUCUCCCAGGGUCACCGUGACCAAUACCACCAUCAGAGUGAUUCCUUCCCACCAAGAGGGCCUCCCCCAUUAUCCACUCACCAUGAGCCGAUGGGAGGACCAAGAGACUUCAGGGAGGGCCAUAGGUUCACAGAGCCUCCUCCGGCCUGGGAGGAACCCCAUCACGAGUAUAAUGAAUACAACGAGGGCUACAACGAGCCCAGAGUGGACUCCUAUGAAAGGGACGAUUAUUAUCACAAGAACCAGUAUCCAGAGGAGCCCCCCUAUCAGGACUCGUACUAUGACCAGCCGUACUCAGAGCCUCCACCAAAGUAUGAAGAAGAAUACCAGCGCCCUCGAGCUAGGGAGGAGUACCACCAAGAGCAGUACCCAGAAGAGUCGUACCAAGAAUAUAACCAACCAGAACAGCAUGAGAACUAUAGGCCUGCUGCAAGGGGCAGAGAUGUCAGAAGUCGACUUGGAGGAAGGGUUACAGUUGGCCAAAAUCCACAUCAUCUGCAGGUGAAAGUUGUCCAGAAUCUCACAGAAGAAGCAGAGUCCCCUCCUGCACAACCCCAGAUUGGGCAGAAAAUUCAGACUGUGCAACGGCAGCAACCUUCGCGCUCACGGAAAUACAAAAGGAUCACAAGAAAGAACAUGAAAGGAGAAGUUAUUUCAGUCAAAAAGAUCCCAGUGGAUGAACAUGGUAAUCAAAUUGGACCUCCAGUAACAGAAUUUGAAGCCAGUGAUUCUUAUACAGACACAGCAAAUACUACUACUCCAGUAUCUAGCAGUCAGCAGCAGCGAGUGCCAGUUGUAAAGACAUUACGUCAGAUAGUUAGGAAAGUCCCAACAAACCGCCAGCAAAUGCAGCAGCAGCAGCAGCAACAACAAGCACCUCCCGCUUCUCAGCAGCUACAGCAACAAGUCAAGCUAAGGGAAAUCCCACAAACUGAUCAGAGCAAAGCACAGACGCAGCAGGGAAAGAUAGUGAAGAGAAUGGUCGUGUCCACUGGAGAUGUAUCGUCGCAGACCAGGAAGCGGUAUCCGGAGAGUGAUCACACAGACGCCAGCAUCACAGACAGGAAACACAGAUGGGUACCAUACUGUCCAUCUGUGUGAUCUACCAACCAAUCUCACGUUAACAGACAUUACUCAGAUGGUGAACAGUGCGGGGGUUGGGCAGCCUUUGGGUAUAGACUAUGUGUCAGGGUCAAGAGAGUGUGUGAUUACUUUCCAUCAGUCAGAGGUUGCUGCUAAGUUCCACCAGAAAAUAAACCGCAGAAUGGUGAACAUGUCAUUCAUUAGGGCAAAGAUGUACUGAGAAGAUUUAGUAUAUGAUGGCUGCUUGAAUGUAUUUCAUGAAAUUUGUUAAUGCAGAGGAGAUGGAAAGGAGUGUAGUGAUGGCAAUCACAAGGUAGUCAGAUGCUUCAGAAAAUGGCAUUAUGAAAUUUAUGAUUUCCUUACGUUGCCAUGUUCAAAUGAACACAAUUGGUAAUUUAAUUGUUUUGUUCUUUUGUGUCUUCAUGUGUUUUAUAUAAAGUGACAGUGCAAAUGUCUACUAAAGUUGCUCUCUUAUUCAUAAGUAAAUCAUUUUUACCCAAGACAUGAAAAAAAUUUAUAAAAAUAAUUAAAUUAUCCCUUGACCACCAAAAGCACAUUACCAUCAAUUUUUACCCAAAACAUUUGAAAAACAACGACAUUAUUUGUCACCAGACUACCAAAAGCACAUUAUCUUAAGUGCAAUGUCAGCUAGGCCUAAUUUCAUAAAUAGUGGAACAGGGGUUCAUAUUGUAUUUAUAUUAUUUUAUUUAUCUCAGUGAACUGACUGUUCCUUAAUACAUUCUCAUGGAGGGCCAUCACAACUCCACCAGCAUCAUUCAUAUAGGAAGCUUAGGAGUAUUUUUGAACAACAACAUACAUACAAACGCACAGAAGCAUGCACACGCAAAUGCACGCGCACACGCACACGCACACGCACACGCACACGCACACGCACACGCACACGCACACGCAAACUCACAUGCACAUGAGC